rnacentral:rRNA from 1 species
CCUACGGGUGGCAGCAGUGGGGGAUAUUGCACAAUGGGCGCAAGCCUGAUGCAGCGACGCCGCGUGGAGGAAGAAGGUUUUCGGAUUGUAACCUCCUGUCUUCAGAGGCGAUAAUGACGGUACCUGAGGAGGAAGCCACGGCUAACUACGUGCCAGCAGCAGCGGUAAUACGUAGGUGGCAAGCGUUGUACGGAAUUACUGGGUGUAAUGGGAGUGUAGGCGGGACAGCAAGUCCUGUGUGAAAUCUAUAGGCUCAACCUAUAGUUGCGCUGGAAACUGGGGUUCUUGAGUGAAGUAGAGGCAGGCGGAAUUCCUAGUGUAGCGGUGAAAUGCUUAGAUAUUAGGAGGAACACCAGUGGCGAAGGCGGCCUGCUGGACUUUUACUGACGCUGAGGCUCGAAAGUGUGGGUAGCAAACAGGAUGAGAUACCCCGGUAGUC